rnacentral:rRNA from 1 species
UACGUAGGGUGCAAGCGUUUGUCCGGAAUUAUUGGGCGUAAAGAGCUCGUAGGCGGUCUGUCGCGUCUGCUGUGAAAACUCGGGGCUUAACCCCGGGCCUGCAGUGGGUACGGGCAGACUAGAGUGCGGUAGGGGGAGACUGGAAUUCCUGGUGUAGCGGUGAAAUGCGCAGAUAUCAGGAGGAACACCGGUGGCGAAGGCGGGGUCUCUGGGCCGUAACUGACGCUGAGGAGCGAAAGCGUGGGGAGCGAACAGG